rnacentral:lncRNA from 1 species
AUACACCUUUAGAGCGUGGUGAGGAAGGUGGGUUUAUUUGCCUAUGCGCAAACAGUGUGGCAACAGACAAGCUCGUAUUUGGAACGGGAACAACUUUUUCAGUUGAGCCAAAGAGUCAAAAAGAAUCUGCCCCAGAAGUCAUUGUGCUCAAAUCAAAGAAGCCUAAACAACAUGACAACAAACUGAACACGGCUUGUUUGGCGAGGUCGUUCUACCCUGGGAACAUCAGCCUUGAUGUGCCCGAGAGUGUUGUUUUGUAUGACCUGAAGGCACCUCUGGUCACGUCUGGGGGGAUGUACAGCACCAUGAAGGUCGUUGGAGUGGAGCCAGAUGCAGAGGUGACCUGCAAGGCUACACACAAAGGGAACAGGAGCAAAGCCAGCACAACUCUGCCAGAAGAGAAAACUGAAGAAUUUGGAACAGUUAAUGAUUGCAGCAUUACAGAUGCUUCUAAAAGAGGUGAGUUGCCUAAAGGAACAUCAGAGUACAGCUGCUUUAUUGGGGAUUCAGUAACAAUGCAGGAACGUGCACUGCCUUUGGUACAGAAAUGUCUGAAUUGGAGAUACUUA